GGCGCGUUGCCCGAGUGGCCAAAGGGAUCGGUCUGUAAAACCGCUGGCUCCGCCUACACUGGUUCGAAUCCAGUACGCGCCA
rnacentral:tRNA from 1 species